UACAGAGGUCUCAAGCGUUGUUCGGAUUCAUUGGGCGUAAAGGGUGCGUAGGCGGCGCGAUAAGUCGGGUGUGAAAUCUCGGGGCUUAACUCCGAAACUGCAUUCGAUACUGCCGUGCUUGAGGACUGGAGAGGAGACUGGAAUUUACGGUGUAGCGGUGAAAUGCGUAGAUAUCGUAAGGAAGACCAGUGGCGAAGGCGGGGUCUCUGGACAGUUCCUGACGCUGAGGCACGAAGGCCAGGGGGAGCAAAACGGGG
rnacentral:rRNA from 1 species